GCACCUGCGACAUGAACGAUAUAACUUUAUUUGGCAGCGCUGGGUAGCUAUAUUUUCAAUCAUCAAAUUGUAUGGGGUUUUUUUUUCUAAAAAGACUGCAGUUGGUUUAUUUUCAUUUCAUCAACUGAGCACUGCGAAGGCUAGCUAUGAGCUGCUGGCACCUGAAUCGGGGAGGACUGGCUUGUGGUAAUAAUUGAGCGGAAUCAAUUUGUGGCGUAGCGCGCCAUUCUUUUGAAAAGUGGAACGAGAAAUGCGUUCUUCUGAUUCCGUCAGGACACUUCUCCCCAACGCACCAGUACGCUCAUCAAUCGAUUCCACCAUAACAAGUGCAUCAUUAUAUGAAGUUGACCGCCAGCUCAGCUCUACCUCCACAGUCAACAGUGCUUGUUACCAGCAAGAUGGCUUCAAUACUAAAGAACCGUUAUUUGGACAGCGCAUAGAUGAUUUAUGUGAGCGCUGGUGUGCCAUCCUGAACAAAUGCUCUAUUGAUUUAAUGACAUUAAUUCUUGACCAGUUGAAACAUGAUUUUAUUGAAAUGGAUAACACGAUUGAAGACAAACGCAUAUUCUACAAAUAGCUGUUAAUGAUGAUGGCAUAUUCAAUGAACUGAUGAAAACUAACCAAGCGCUCCAGGACAAGUUGUCUACAGAAAUAAAGGAACUUAAAAUCAAGAAAUUCAACCAAGACAAAAAAGACAAGGCCGAUGGUAAAAGUCUACUUCUGGAGAAACCCUGACCAGGGAGGUCCUGUACCUCCUCUCCAUGGCAGACGCGGGAGGGACGCCGCUUACUUCGAUCCACCCUUGUCUGAUCAACGCUCUACAACCAGCGCCUCAUCGGCUUCCAGUGGUAGUUUUUUAUUCAACGAGAGACUGGACGGACGGACGGAAGGGCGGAGGAGGCCGCAGGCGGCCGCAGGCACGCGCAUCGACGAGAUGCCGCACCCGACGGCGUAAGAAGAAACGACUAUCAGAGGCAGAGGAGACCGUUCACACGGUCCCAGAACCCACGGGACUGUGUCUUUAAUUAAUCAAGCAAGAUAUUGAGCCCUGCC
ensembl:lncRNA